CACCUAUAUCCCGGGGGUGGGGGGUGGGCGGAGUUUACUUUGACUGGUGCAUUAGCAUAAAUAUGAAAUAAUCCUACCGGCCUACAUUCAUAUAUUCACCCUGGUUGUGUGCCUGUGUCACUACAUUUCAGGGUAUACUAUAUUUUUCGAUAGUGCUCACAAAUUCUUUCCUAUUAUAUAGUUAUGCAGUUCUGACUGAGUACAAUCUUAGUCAUUGCAAAUGAAUGGUGUCAUCUGAAGCAAAUGUACUAAACAAAAAUGUCAACAAAUAGAUUUUGUCUCCCCAUCAGCAGAU